GGCGACCCCAGGUCAGGCGG
rnacentral:rRNA from 3 species